rnacentral:rRNA from 1 species
UACGUAGGUCCCGAGCGUUGUCCGGAUUUAUUGGGCGUAAAGCGAGCGCAGGUGGUUUAUUAAGUCUGGUGUAAAAGGCAGUGGCUCAACCAUUGUAUGCAUUGGAAACUGGUAGACUUGAGUGCUGGAGAGGCAAUCGGAAUUCCGUGUGUAGCGGUGAAAUGCGUAGAUAUACGGAGGAACACCAGUGGCGAAGGCGGAUUGCUGGACAGUAACUGACGCUGAGGCGCGAAAGCGUGGGGAGCAAACAGG